rnacentral:rRNA from 1 species
AUUGAACGCUGGCGGCAGGCCUAACACAUGCAAGUCGAACGGUAGCACAGAGAGCUUGCUCUCGGGUGACGAGUGGCGGACGGGUGAGUAAUGUCUGGGAAACUGCCUGAUGGAGGGGGAUAACUACUGGAAACGGUAGCUAAUACCGCAUAACGUCGCAAGACCAAAGAGGGGGACCUUCGGGCCUCUUGCCAUCAGAUGUGCCCAGAUGGGAUUAGCUAGUAGGUGGGGUAACGGCUCACCUAGGCGACGAUCCCUAGCUGGUCUGAGAGGAUGACCAGCCCAACUGGAACUGAGACACGGUCCAGACUCCUACGGGAGGCAGCAGUGGGGAAUAUUGCACAAUGGGCGUAAGCCUGACGCAGCCAUGCCGCGUGUAUGAAGAAGGCCUUCGGGUUGUAAAGUACUUUCAGCGGGGAGGAAGGCGAUAAGGUUAAUAACCUUGUCGAUUGACGUUACCCGCAGAAGAAGCACCGGCUAACUCCGUGCCAGCAGCCGCGGUAAUAC